rnacentral:rRNA from 1 species
GGGGCAGCACGGGUAGCAAUACUUGGUGGCGACCGGCGCACGGGUGAGUAACGCGUAUGCAACCUACCCAUAACAGGGGGAUAGCCCGAAGAAAUUCGGAUUAACACCGCAUAAGAUUAUUGGAUCGCAUGGUUUGAUAAUUAAAUAUUUAUAGGUUAUGGAUGGGCAUGCGUGACAUUAGAUAGUUGGUGAGGUAACGGCUCACCAAGUCAGCGAUGUCUAGGGGGCCUGAGAGGGUAGUCCCCCACACUGGUACUGAGACACGGACCAGACUCCUACGGGAGGCAGCAGUGAGGAAUAUUGCGCAAUGGACGAAAGUCUGACGCAGCCAUGCCGCGUGCAGGAUGACGGCCCUAUGGGUUGUAAACUGCUUUU